AAAUCAACCGAGAUUCCCCCAGUAGCGGCGAGCGAACGGGGAGGAGCCCAGAGCCUGAAUCAGCAUAUGUGUUAGUGGAAGCGUCUGGAAAGGCGCGCGAUACAGGGUGACAGCCCCGUACACAAAAGCGCAUGUGCUGUGAGCUCGAUGAGUAGGGCGGGACACGUGGUAUCCUGUCUGAAUAUGGGGGGACCAUCCUCCAAGGCUAAAUACUCCUGACUGACCGAUAGUGAACCAGUACCGUGAGGGAAAGGCGAAAAGAACCCCGGCGAGGGGAGUGAAAAAGAACCUGAAACCGUGUACGUACAAGCAGUGGGAGCCCCACCACUAAGCCAGUGGUGAACUCCACAUACGCAUCCUUUGCUGAGGAUACGGUUAACGGAGCGAAAGCGACGUUCAACCUCAAAAGAAGCAGAGGGGGCUUAGUGGUGGGGUGACUGCGUACCUUUUGUAUAAUGGGUCAGCGACUUAUAUUCUGUAGCAAGGUUAACCGAAUAGGGGAGCCGGAGGGAAACCGAGUCUUAACCGGGCGUUAAGUUGCAGGGUAUAGACCCGAAACCCGGUGAUCUAGCCAUGGGCAGGUUGAAGGUUGGGUAACACUAACUGGAGGACCGAACCGACUAAUGUUGAAAAAUUAGCGGAUGACCUGUGGCUGGGGGUGAAAGGCCAAUCAAACCGGGAGAUAGCUGGUUCUCCCCGAAAGCUAUUUAGGUAGCGCCUCGUGAAUUCAUCUCCGGGGGUAGAGCACUGUUUCGGCUAGGGGGCCAUCCCGGCUUACCAACCCGAUGCAAACUGCGAAUACCGGAGAAUGUUAUCACGGGAGACACACGGCGGGUGCUAACGUCCGUCGUGAAGAGGGAAACAACCCAGACCGCCAGCUAAGGUCCCAAAGUCAUGGUUAAGUGGGAAACGAUGUGGGAAGGCCCAGACAGCCAGGAUGUUGGCUUAGAAGCAGCCAUCAUUUAAAGAAAGCGUAAUAGCUCACUGGUCGAGUCGGCCUGCGCGGAAGAUGUAACGGGGCUAAACCAUGCACCGAAGCUGCGGCAGCGACGCUGAUGCGUUGUUGGGUAGGGGAGCGUUCUGUAAGCCUGCGAAGGUGGCCUGUGAGGGUUGCUGGAGGUAUCAGAAGUGCGAAUGCUGACAUAAGUAACGAUAAAGCGGGUGAAAAGCCCGCUCGCCGGAAGACCAAGGGUUCCUGUCCAACGUUAAUCGGGGCAGGGUGAGUCGACCCCUAAGGCGAGGCCGAAAGGCGUAGUCGAUGGGAAACGGGUUAAUAUUCCCGUACUUGGUGUUACUGCGAAGGGGGGACGGAGAAGGCUAUGUUGGCCGGGCGACGGUUGUCCCGGUUUAAGC
rnacentral:rRNA from 1 species